GUCCAGACUCCUACGGGAGGCAGCAGUGGGGAAUAUUGCACAAUGGGGGAAACCCUGAUGCAGCGACGCCGCGUGAGCGAAGAAGUACCUCGGUAUGUAAAGCUCUAUCAGCAGGGAAGAAGAUGACGGUACCUGACCAAGAAGCUCCGGCUAAAUACGUGCCAGCAGCCGCGGUAAUACGUAUGGAGCAAGCGUUAUCCGGAUUUACUGGGUGUAAAGGGAGCGCAGGCGGCCUUGCAAGUCUGAUGUGAAAGGCCGGGGCCCAACCCCGGGACUGCAUUGGAAACUGCGAAGCUGGAGUGUCGGAGAGGCAGGCGGAAUUCCUAGUGUAGCGGUGAA
rnacentral:rRNA from 1 species